GGAGAGAAUGCGGGCUGCUAGUGGGGGCGGUAUGCAGAGGGUCAGAACUGAUUUUAUUGGAUGUGGGACUGAGCUGUGGGUGACUGGAGUUGGGCUCUCAGGCCAAGAGGAAGGUGUUUGUGCUGAGAGCUCCCUGCCUGCCUCACAUGGUCAUGAUCUCUGCCCUCUGCAUCCAGUUCCUCUUGCGAACACCUCAGGUACUCACCCUCCCCCAUAUUCCUGUACCAACAAUCACUAAAAGAUGAAAAAGAUGCCACUUGCAGUGCAGAUGGGAAAGAUGCCACUUGGAGUUCAGCACCCAGCAUGGUGGCUCCCAGCCAUCUGACCCUGAAGCUGAUGCACUCGGCUUUCUCAUCUUGCUCCCUGGCUCCGGGAUGGAUCCCCUGACCCCAGUCUGUGACAGCCCAGGGUUUCUCAGCUCAGACACAUUCACCCCCGCACUGUCACCCACCAGGAUGGCUCUAACCCACCUGCGGCCCACCCUUUCCCUCACUGCCCCUGCUGUCUCCUUCCUCUUGGCACAAGUUCCUUGCCUCCACUCUCAUCCCCACUUCCCCAACCGGUCCCUCACCUAUUGAAUGAAUGCACCUCCCACUCCUCUCCUGUUGUCCUAGUCCAGCAUCUGCCUCCCCAAACCAUCAGAGAAACCCUGAGGCUUUGGAGCUUCUUCUUUAUGCAGUCUUCUCAAUUAUCCACCUCUGAGAGUGGCUUAUCCACUGAAGACUUCUCAGCAGCCUCCAGUUAUGAAAUGAAAUUUUAGAUUGAAAGAGGUGGUUUUCCAAGCCUCCCUGAAAGAGAGACUCUGUUUCAUUCCCCACCCCUGCACCUUAAUUCUCACCCAGCACUUAAUGGAGUUUACUGCAUUAAACAGUAUGGUAGUUGUUAGUACAGUAACUACUACUACACAGUUACUAUUA